rnacentral:rRNA from 1 species
GAUGAACGCUGGCGGCGUGCCUAAUACAUGCAAGUCGAGCGAACAGACGAGGAGCUUGCUCCUCUGACGUUAGCGGCGGACGGGUGAGUAACACGUGGAUAACCUACCUAUAAGACUGGGAUAACUUCGGGAAACCGGAGCUAAUACCGGAUAAUAUAUUGAACCGCAUGGUUCAAUAGUGAAAGACGGUUUUGCUGUCACUUAUAGAUGGAUCCGCGCCGCAUUAGCUAGUUGGUAAGGUAACGGCUUACCAAGGCGACGAUGCGUAGCCGACCUGAGAGGGUGAUCGGCCACACAGGAACUGAGACACGGUCCAGACACCUACGGGAGGCAGCAGUAGGGAAUCUUCCGCAAUGUGCGAAAGCCUGACGGAGCAACGCAGCGUGAGUGAUGAAGGUCUUCGGAUCGUAAAACUCUGUUAUUAGGGAAGAACAAAUGUGUAAGUAACUAUGCACGUCUGGACGGUACCUAAUCAGAAAGCCACGGCUAACUACGU